UACGUAGGGGGCAAGCGUUGUCCGGAAUUAUUGGGCGUAAAGCGCGCGCAGGCGGCUAUUUAAGUCUGGUGUUUAAACCUUGGGCUCAACCUGAGGUCGCACUGGAAACUGGGUGGCUUGAGUACAGAAGAGGAAAGUGGAAUUCCACGUGUAGCGGUGAAAUGCGUAGAUAUGUGGAGGGACACCAGUGGCGAAGGCGACUUUCUGGGCUGUAACUGACGCUGAGGCGCGAAAGCGUGGGGAGCAAACAGG
rnacentral:rRNA from 1 species